AGCGGCGAGUGAAGCGGCAAAAGCUCAAAUUUGAAAUCUGGCACUUUCAGUGUCCGAGUUGUAAUUUGAAGAAGGUAUCUUUGGGUCUGGCUCUUGUCUAUGUUUCUUGGAACAGAACGUCACAGAGGGUGAGAAUCCCGUGCGAUGAGAUGUCCCAGACCUAUGUAAAGUUCCUUCGAAGAGUCGAGUUGUUUGGGAAUGCAGCUCUAAGUGGGUGGUAAAUUCCAUCUAAAGCUAAAUAUUGGCGAGAGACCGAUAGCGAACAAGUACAGUGAUGGAAAGAUGAAAAGAACUUUGAAAAGAGAGUGAAAAAGUACGUGAAAUUGUUGAAAGGGAAGGGCUUGAGAUCAGACUUGGUAUUUUGUAUGUUACUCUCUCGGGGGUGGCCUCUACAGUUUACCGGGCCAGCAUCAGUUUGAGCGGUAGGAUAAGUGCAAAGAAAUGUGGCACUGCUUCGGUAGUGUGUUAUAGUCUUUGUCGAUACUGCCAGCUUAGACUGAGGACUGCGGCUUCGGCCUAGGA
rnacentral:rRNA from 1 species